GCAGCAUAGUAGCAUAGGGAAGACAGCUCUCUGAGAUAUAUAUAUAUAUAGAGAGAGAGAGAAAGAGAGAGAGAGAGAGUGAGAGAGCGUGAGAGUGAGUUUCAGUCCUCUGCUUCUUCAGUGGCUCUGUUCUUCUCUGUUUUGCAGACAAUUUUGAUUGGUGUGAAGCCCUGUCUCUUUCAAUGAAAUAUCAAUUCCAUGGAGAAUUUUGACUCUUUUUGACUGUUUUUCUCAAUAUUUUCCAGGUGAUGUGAUUUUUUCUUCUUCUUCUUUUGGGGUUGAUAAAUUGUUACAUUUUCCAUUAAAACAAACAGGCCCUUCUGUUGCCUGCAUGUUCUUUCUUUGUAUUUUGGGGAAAUUCUUGCUUUUUUUUGGGGGGUGCUGUUAUUGGUGAUAUCGUCUUAUUUGCAGGUCGAGGAUAAGGAGAAGUAAUUAUAAUGACGUCGUCUCUCAGUAGGGACCUCAUCUUCUUGAUCUUGCAGUUACUUGAAGAGGAAAAGUUCAAACUCUUCAUAAGCUUGAGCAAGAAUCAGGAUUGUUCUUUAAUCUGAAGUAUUUUGAGGAAUUAGUACUUGGUGGGAACUGGGAUGAGGUCGAGCGGUAUCUUUUGGGGUUCACUAAAGUGGAUGACAACCGGUAUUCGAUGAAGGUCUUCUUCGAAAUUCGUAAGCAGAAGUAUCUCGAGGCAUUAGAUAAACAGGAUAGAGCCAAAGCAGUAGAUAUCCUCGUGCAGGAUCUGAAGGUUUUCGCAGGUUUUAAUGAAGAUUUGUUCAAGGAAAUCACUCAGCUCCUGACAUUAGACAAUUUUAGGGAAAAUGCUCAACUAGCUAGCUAUAGAGAUACGAAGACAGCAAGAGCAAUUAUGGUCAUUGAACUUAAGAAGCUUAUCGAGGCCAAUCCUCUUUUCCGUGAAAAAACAGAGUUUCCUAACUUAAGAACUUCAAGGUUGCGGAUGCUCAUUAACCAAAGCUUGAAUUGGCAGCAUUCCCUUUGUUCAAAUCCUAGACAGAAUCCUGAUAUAAGAACCCUAUUUGUGGAUCACUCUUGUAAAAAUUCCAAUGAUUCAUUCGCUCAAUUAACAGCAAACAAUCAGCUGAUGGGUUCUGUGCAAAGAGUUGAUGGUUUUCUUCCUAUGGGUUCUGUACAAACAGCAAACAGUCAGCUGAUGGGUUCUGUAAAUGGGUCCUUCCAACCCACACCAGCGCCAGUUCAUCCUCCGUUAUCUGCAUGGAUGUCUAUUCCUUCGAUUGUAAAUCAUCCAGCAGCUUCUGGAGGGGGUAUCGGUUUUGGUAGUCUAACAAAUCCAGCUUCAUCAUUGAGGGGUCCUGGGGAUUCUGAUGAUUUUUUCAGAACGCGAUUCUCUGGUGUUUCAGACAGGGUUAUGUUGCCAGGGAUUAAUCCAGGUCAAAGUAGUACUACAUUUAACGCAACAGAAUUCCCCAAGACGGUUGCUCGAACUCUGAAUCAGGGGUCAGCUCCCACAAGCAUGGACUUCCAUCCUGUUCAGCAUACGCUGCUUCUAGUUGGAACUAAUGUGGGGGAUAUAAGCUUGUGGGAAGUUAGUUCAAGGGAGAAGUUGGUAUCAAGAAAUUUUCAGGUAUGGGAUAUCGGAGCAAGUUCAAUGAUGCUAAAGGCUAUUCUGAUCAAGGAUCCAUGUGUCUCAGUUAAGCGUAUACUUUGGAGCCCUGAUGGUUCUCUAUUUGGAGUUGCAUAUUCUAAACACCUAAUGCAAUUAUACACUUAUUUGGGUGGGAAUGAGAUUCGCCAACAUUUGGAGAUUGAUGCCCAUGUUGGUAGCAUUAAUGAUCUGGCGUUCUGUAACCCGACCAAGCAACUCUCUGUCAUUACUUGUGGUGAUGAUAAGGCCAUUAAGGUGUGGGAUGCAUCAAAUGGGUCAAAGUUGUAUAGUUUUGAAGGUCAUGAUGCUCCGGUCCAUUCUGUGUGCCCUCACAACAAGGAGAAUGUCCAUUUUAUCUUUUCAACAUCAGUAGAUGGAAAAAUAAGAGCAUGGUUGUAUGACAAUCUGGGAUCUAGGGUGGAUUAUGAUGCUCCUGGCCGCUCAUGCACAACAAUGGUCUACAGUGCAGAUGGUAAAAGGCUCUUUUCAUGUGGGACAAGCAAAGAUGGAGAAUCUCAUGUUGUUGAAUGGAAUGAAAAUGAAGGUGUAAUAAAGAGGAAUUAUGUAGGAUUUCAAAAACAUUCUUUGGGUGUUGUUCAGUUUGAUACAACCAAGAAUAAGUUUUUGGCUGUUGGAGAUGACUAUGCAAUCAAAGUUUGGGAUAUGGAUAAUACCAAUCUUUUGACUAAUAUUGAUGCUGAAGGAGGCCUACCAGCAAGUCCUUGCAUUCGCUUCAACAAGGAGGGCUCUUUAUUGGCUGUUUCUGCAAAUGAAAAUAGAGUCAAAAUUUUAGCUACGAUGGAUGGUCUCCGGUUGAUGCGCACUUAUGAAAGUCACUCGCUUAUUUCCUUGAGAAAUGCAUCUGAGACUGUAACAAAGAAUGGUAGCACCAUAAACCUGGAUGAUGUGAAACCAAGAUUAACUGAAGAAGUCAAUACAAGGAUAUGGAAGCUCACUGAGAUCAGUGAAACUGCUCAGCUUCGGUCAUUGAGGCUCUCGGCUAUGAUGAAAUCAGACAAGAUCUCAAGGUUGACAUACAGUAAUUCAGGUAGUGCCAUUUUGGCAUUGGGAUCCAAUGCCAUCCAUCUACUGUGGAGGUGGCCACGGGGUGACCAUAAUUCGAGUAUCAAAGCAACAACCAAGGUUACCCCACAGUUAGUGCAACCGACUUCGGGCAUUCUAAUGACCAAUGAUCUUACUGGUGCUAAACCUGAAUAUGCACUACCCAGCUUUGCUUUGUCCAAGAAUGAUUCUUAUGUCAUGUCAACCUCUGGAGGGAAGAUAUCUUUGUUUAACAUGAUGACAUUCAAGACGAUGACAACUUUCAUGUGUCCACCCCCUGUGGCAACAAGUCUUGCUUUCCACCCGGACGACAAUAAUAUAAUUGCUGUUGGCAUGGAUGAUUCCACCAUUCACAUAUACAAUGCCCGUGUAGACGAGGUUAAGAACAAGCUUAAGGGUCACUCCAAAAGAGUCACGGGUCUUGCCUUCUCCCAUGUUCUGCAUACACUUGUUUCUCUUGGAGCAGAUGCUCAGCUUAUUGUGUGGAACUCUGAUAAGUGGGAAAGGCAGAAGAACUGUUUCUUGCAAAUUCCUGCUGGGAGGACACCUGCAACGAUGUUUGAAACUCAGCUUCAGUAUCACAAAGAUCAGAUACACUUCCUUGUUAUACAUGAGACUCAACUUGCAGUAUAUGAAACAUCGAAACUUGAAUGUGAAAAGCAGUGGGUUGUAGGAGAAUCUGCAGCGCCAAUCUCGCAUGCAGCAUUCUCUUGUGAUAGCCAGUUAGUGUAUGCCAGCUUUCAGGAUGCAACUGUGCGCGUGUUUAAUGCAUCAAAUCUGCAAGUGCAAUGCCAGAUUAAUCCCAAUGCUUAUCUUCCACCCGAUUUCAGUUCUGCAUCAUACCCUCUAGUUGUAGCUGCACAUCCACAAGAGCCAAACCAGUUUGCUGUAGGGCUAACUGAUGGUGCAGUUGUGAUAGUUGAACCCCUUGAAUCUGAAGACAAAUGGGGUGUGCCUCCACCUGUUGACAAUGGGUUACAAAGUGUCUUCCAUACUACAUCUCCAGUCAAUGCUUCCAGUUUGGAUCAACCCUAGACUUGAUAAGGCCUAGUUAGGACUUUUGAGACUCCAUAAUUUAAUAAAGCCUUAGGAGUUUAAUUUAGUUUUCUUCUUUUUUCUUUUAUUUUGGCCAUUUCUACAGGCCUAGUUGGAUCUUUUAAAUUUCUGGGGCAAGUCCCAUGUGCUUGUGAUUUGUGCCCAGUAGUAGUUGUCUCAGACUUUCUUGCUUUGCAAUGAAAUAUUUAACUUAUUGCU